ACUCCUGUCAUUGGGGAGUAAGACUUAUGCGUUAAGAGCGUGUAAGUUUGAUAGUACCCAAAGAGGAAGGGACGGCUAACUUCGUGCCAGCAGCCGCGGUAAUACGAAGGUCCCAAGCGUUGUUCGGAAUAACUGGGCGUAAAGCGUGUGUAGGCUGCGCGGAAAGUCAAAUGUGAAAGCCAGAGGCUCAACCUCUGAACUGCAUUCGAUACUCCCGUGCUAGAGUAAUGGAGAGGUAAGUGGAAUUCCUGGUGUAGCAGUGAAAUGCGUAGAUAUCAGGAGGAACAUCAAUGGCGAAGGCAACUUACUGGACAUUUACUGACGCUCAGACACGAAGGCUAGGGGAGCGAAAGGGAUUAGAUACCCCUGUAGUCCUAGCAGUAAACGGUGCUCGCUUGGUGUGGGAGGAUUCGACCCCUUCUGUGCCGGAGCUAACGCGUUAAGCGAGCCGCCUGGGAAGUACGGUCGCAAGACUAAAACUCAAAGAAAUUGACGGGGACCCGCACAAGCGGUGGAGUAUGUGGCUUAAUUCGAUGCAACGCGAAGAACCUUACCUAGGCUUGACAUGCUUGUCGUACUCUCCCGAAAAGGAGAGGUCACUUCGGGUGGACAAUGCACAGGUGCUGCAUGGCCGUCGUCAGCUCGUGUCGUGAGAUGUUUGGUUAAGUCCAGCAACGAGCGCAACCCCUGUGAACUGUUGCCAGCGCGUAAAGGCGGGGACUCUGUUCAGACUGCCCAGAUCAACUGGGAGGAAGGUGGGGACGACGUCAGGUCAGUAUGGCCCUUACGCCUAGGGCUGCACACGUACUACAAUGCCCAGCACAAUGAGAACCGAUACCGCGAGGUGGAGGAAAUCUGCAAAACUGGGCCCAGUUCGGAUUGGAGGCUGCAACUCGCCUCCAUGAAGUUGGAAUCGCUAGUAAUGCCGUAUCAGCUACGACGGCGUGAAUACGUUCCCGGGUCUUGUACACACCGCCCGUCACAUCAUGGAAGUCGGUCGCACCCGAAGUAUAUGCGCUAACUUUAUUGAAGCAGUAUCCUAAGGUGAGGCUGGUAACUGGGAUGAAGUCGUAACAAGGUAGCCGUAGGGGAACCUGCGGCUG
rnacentral:rRNA from 1 species